ACACCGGCAGCUCAAGUGGUAGCCGCUUUUAUUGGGCCUAAAGCGUCCGUAGCCGGUCUGAUAAGUCUCUGGUGAAAUCCCACAGCUUAACUGUGGGAAUUGCUGGAGAUACUAUCAUGACUCGAGGUCGGGAGAGGCUGGAGGUACUCCCAGGGUAGGGGGGAAAUCCUGUAAUCCUGGGAGGACCACCUGUGGCGAAGGCGUCCAGUUGGACGGAACCUAACGGUGAGGGACGAAAGCCAGGGGCGCGAACCGGAUUAGAUACCCGGGUAGUCCUGGCGGUAAACGAUGUGGACUUGGUGUUGGGAUGGCCUCGACCUGCCCCAGUGCCGAAGGGAACCUGUUAAGUCCACCGCCUGGAAAGUACGGCCGCAAGGCUGAAACUUAAAUGAAUUGGCGGGG
rnacentral:rRNA from 1 species